UACGGGGGGAGCAAGCGUUGUUCGGAUUUACUGGGCGUAAAGGGCGCGUAGGCGGUCAGCACAAGUCAGUUGUGAAAUCUCCGGGCUUAACUCGGAAAGGUCAACUGAUACUGUGCGACUAGAGUGUGGUAGGGGAGACUGGAAUUCCUGGUGUAGCGGUGAAAUGCGCAGAUAUCAGGAAGAACACCCGUGGCGAAGGCGGCUCUCUGGGACGGUACUGACGCUGAGACGCGAAAGCGUGGGGAGCGAACAGG
rnacentral:rRNA from 1 species